rnacentral:rRNA from 1 species
GAUGAACGCUAGCUACAGGCUUAACACAUGCAAGUCGAGGGGUAGCAGGGUAGCAAUACCGCUGACGACCGGCGCACGGGUGAGUAACACGUAUCCAACCUUCCCAUCACUCGGGGAUAGCCUUUCGAAAGAAAGAUUAAUACCCGAUAGUACUUUUUUGAGGCAUCUUAAGAAAGUUAAAGAUUUAUUGGUGAUGGAUGGGGAUGCGUUCCAUUAGAUUGUUGGUGAGGUAACGGCUCACCAAGUCUUCGAUGGAUAGGGGUUCUGAGAGGAAGGUCCCCCACAUUGGUACUGAGACACGGACCAAACUCCUACGGGAGGCAGCAGUGAGGAAUAUUGGUCAAUGGGCGAGAGCCUGAACCAGCCAAGUAGCGUGAAGGAUGAAGGUCCUAUGGAUUGUAAAACUUCUUUUAUAGUAGAAUAAAGUGAUCCACGUGUGGAUUUUGUAUGUAUACUAUGAAUAAGGAUCGGCUAACUCCGUGCCAGCAGCCGCGGUAAUAGUGUGU